rnacentral:rRNA from 1 species
UACGGAGGGGGCGAGCGUUAUUCGGAAUUAUUGGGCGUAAAGGGCGCGUAGGCGGCCUUGUAAGUCAAAGGUGAAAUCCCUCGGCUCAACUGAGGAACUGCCUUUGAAACUGCAAGCUUGAGGCCGGGAGGGGGUAGCGGAAUUCCCAAUGUAGCGGUGAAAUGCGCAGAUAUCAGGAGGAACACCGGUGGCGAAGGCGGGUCUCUGGGCAGUAACUGACGCUGAGGAGCGAAAGCGUGGGGAGCGAACAGGA